GGGGGGAUGUCCGAGUGGUUAAAGGAGACGGGCUGUAAACCCGUUGGCUACGCCUACGCAGGUUCGAAUCCUGCUCCCCCCA
rnacentral:tRNA from 1 species